GACAUGUCCAGGACUGCAGGGUUGUUGUCAAUUUAUGUGACCUUGUGAAGCCUUGGAACAAACUCUCCCAAGUUCAAAAGGUGUCCCUCAGCAUGUAUCAGAGAGGCUGUGUCUGUGAGAUCUCACCUUGUACUGGAGCGUCCUGUUUGAUUGAGAUUCUUCAGAAAAAAUGUCUGAUAAGAGUCACUUCAUCCGGUCUUGAUAAAAAGGCUCUUCAGUCUAUUUGCCUGCCAGGCAGGGGUGGCUUCUGCAGUUGGCAACAAAUUCCUGACAAAAAACUACAAAUGCUCCUAAAAAUGAUGCCCUGAAGAACAAGUGCAUCAGCCAUUCAGCAGUGUGCAUUUUUGCCCUUUUGUUCUCCAGAAUGCUUAGAACACUUUGAAGUUAAUUUAAACAAUUUAAUGAAGCUUUGCAAUGCAUUCAGCGAAUACAUAAAUACUUUUCAUGGAGAUAUGCAAUCAACCAUUAAACUAUUUUGCAAGUAAAAGCAUCUGUGUGUAUUUAAUGGGAAAUGUAAGCAUGUUUAUAUAAUUAUAUAAAUAUGGAUGUUCUUGGUGUCAGAAGCAUUCAUCUAGGUGGGUUGUUUUUUUUUUUUUUUUUUUUUUUUUUUUGUGUAAUCUUAGUUUAAAUUUCGUUUUUNUUUUUUUUUUUUUUCUCUAUUCUGAUGAACAUUGAGUUAAAGUAUGGUGUAAUUUAACCUCUUAACGGUCACCCGUCCCCUCUGUGGGAUGCCGGUUUACGUGUGUGUGUGUAUAUAUCUAUAUCUCGUUGGAAAUGACUAAGAUUCCUAAAUUGAUAUUUUACCAGUGUUUUUUGUUAAAUUAUGUAGGAAAAGAUUAAUUUAUGAUGAGUGCACCUCAAAUCUACAUAACAGGAGUUCCCUUUCAGGAACUCGAGCUGCUCUCGAAAAUGCUUGGGGAACACAAAUCAGUCCAGUGGAAUGGCAAAACAUCACAGAUGGGGGGGAUGUAGAGACCAGUGAGCUUAAGGUUUCCUCCAGGCUGUCAGCGCUGACUGGACUCAACUUCACUCCUGUACUGAAAACAUUAGAAGAGGACCUUCACUGCUGGCUCAAUUUACCACUUUCCAUCCAGGGCAGAAUAGCUAUAAUUAAAAUGACUACUCCCAAAAAUAAACUACUUAUUCUCAAUAAUCCCA
ensembl:lncRNA